rnacentral:lncRNA from 1 species
AUGCCGCUGCUAUUAACACACAGCGAGCUGCACGGCAGACAGCGCCUUCCUCCUCCCGUUCGGGGCCUGCGUCCGUGUGCUGGCAUAUGGCAUCACCACCGUCCUGAGAACUCCCUCUCAGCCCCACCCUCAUGCCCAGAUCAUGCGAAGAAAGAGCAUCUAUACGUUCCAACAGGGAUGGGAGCAAGUGAUGACAAAGCUCUGCCCUUGCUGACGCAUGUCUGGGAGAACGGCAGUUACAGCAGAGCCGAGCCUUCACCAGGAACAGAAUGUGAAUUGGAUUCAGAGAACAGGAAAGCCUGUCAGGCUGAUCUGGCCGUCCCAGGACAUUCCCUUUGGUACAGCUCUUGUUUAUGGGACUUGCAGCCCUCCCCCUUCCUUCCCUGAUGGUUUCUCAUUUUCUGGCCAGGCCCUAGAGUCUCCACUUCUGUUCAAAACAGUUUUUCUUUACGUUGGCAUUGGAACAAAAGUGAAUCACGCAGCGUUUGCUGACUUCACUUUGUAUAAAGAUUAGGAAAACAGUUGAGAUAAAUACUGGCUUCAGAAUGUGGAAUAAUCUGGAUCAUUUUAACAGACCACGCCAUGGCCAGCAACUCAGAACCCUUCCCCUUUCCAGAUACGCGGCUUGAGGUCCCACCAGUCUCCACUUCCCACCUAGCCCGCGAUUAACUCCGCACUUUCUUAUAAACUCUGCCAGCUUCCUAUAGACGAACUAAUCACAAUGCUGCACAGUGCUUGGGUUCCCGCCCCUUCCAGCUGACCUCUGAGGAAGCGAAAGCUUUAGUCUGUGAAUUUUUGGGGUGUGUAAUUGUGAACAGUAAUUGCAGACUGAUUUUCCUCUCCUCUGGCUUUUCCCCUCACCACAUGUGCAUGCUUUAGCCUUGCCUGUCUCAGACCUAUUCAGAAUGCUGUUCCCAUCACUUUGACCAUGUCCAUUCCCCUGGCUUCUCCUUCUCUAUCGCGUCAAACAUCAGCUGCUUCUCUUCACUUUCACGGCCACGCCUGGCCUGUCCCCACCCUCCCUAUCAGCUCCUACCUCUGAUCAGCCAAUGAUGCCACCUCCAUCACCCACUUGUGACAUUUUCAAAGCAGCCUCUUCCUCGCAAGCUUUCUCCCACGCUGCCCCUCACACUUGGGAGAAGCUGCCUCCUUCUUCUCCUUCAAAUUCCUCCUUAGAACUCUCUUCUGGUGCGAUCCCUACAGACACCUGACCACAGCUAGGAUGUUGGUGUGCUGAGACCACUGCCUGUCAUG